rnacentral:lncRNA from 1 species
CAAAUUUUUAUUAUUAUUUGCAUAAAAAAAACAUACAAGGAAUAAGCCUAAUGUUAGGAAUGGUUCGUUUUAGGACUCUUAAACCUAACAAGUUCACAAGAAAAUAAAGCAAGUUUACAAGAUUAUAGUUUCAUGGUAGUUAUCUGUCUCUCAAACAAAAAAAAUCUGUCUCUCCUCCAAGCUAGCAAGUACCCAGCCAAGUGAUAACAUUCUUGCUGCAGCAGCAUAUCCACAUAUCCUCUGUGCAAUUUGCUUGUCACUGCAUCUUUCAAAUUAAUCUUUGGCACCAUCUGAUAAUGAAAGCCAUGGUUGAAUUUCAAAGUCAACUGCACCUUCCUAUAUGACAUCAAAUAUACUCUCUCAGUCUAUGCACAAGUAUAUAUAAAGUUAGGGGUGAUGAGAGCACAGUCAAAAAGAAUAUAAUGAAUGAAUUGAAUUUACUAGCCCAAAAUGGAGGUACACUACAGUAAGUAUCCAUCUCUAAUUCUUCUUUACCCGAAGUCUUUUAUGCAUAGCACUAGCAUCCCUCAUAUACCUUAUAGAUGAUAACAUCAACUUUAUAAAUUGAAACAAACAUAAAAAUGAUCGGCAGCAAAAAAACAAGCAUUUCACACAAGCAAAUAGAAACAACAUAUAAAGCAAACAUAGAGGCUCCCCAAUUUUUCCCCUAC